UACGGAGGGUGCAAACGUUGCUCGGAAUCAUUGGGCGUAAAGCGCACGUAGGCGGUCCGUUAUGUCGGGUGUGAAAGCCCUCGGCUUAACCGAGGAAGUGCAUUCGAAACUGGCGGACUUGAGUACCGGAGAGGGUCGCGGAAUUCCCGGUGUAGAGGUGAAAUUCGUAGAUAUCGGGAGGAACACCAGUGGCGAAGGCGGCGACCUGGACGGAUACUGACGCUGAGGUGCGAAAGCGUGGGGAGCAAACGGG
rnacentral:rRNA from 1 species